CUGUGUUAGAAGUACAUUUCGUGCAAUUAAAAAUAUUUCACUGUAAACAAUGAUUUCUACAGCUGUUAAUGGGUAAGAUAUAAUAUGAUAUAUCCUUUAUCCUUUCCUUGUAUUUGUUUCAGUAAUGAGGGGUUAUAUGGGGGUUCUUAAACCAAAAUUCCUCAUUUACCACAUAAUGAGAAAGGGAUAGAGAAAAAUGUGUAUACACAUAUAUAAACAGUAUAUAUAUAUAUAUAUAUAUAUAUAUACAUAUAUAUAAACAGUAUAUAUAUAUAUAUAUACAUAUAUAUAAACAGUAUAUAUAUAUAUAUAUACAUAUAUAUAAACAGUAUAUAUAUAUAUAUACAUAUAUAUAAACAGUAUAUAUAUAUAUAUACAUAUAUAUAAACCGUAUAUAUAUAUAUAUAUAUAUAUAUAUAUAUAUACUGUUUAUAUAUAUAGGUACUAUGUAAGAAGAGUGGUCCCGGUGCGCGCACCCACGUACUCGCGCGUUUGACUGUGGCCAUGCUGGAGCACCGCCUUUCUUUUAGUCGAACGAAUCGACCCCCCGGUACUUAUUCUUUGCCGAACCGCUAAGUUACGGGAACGUAAACACACCAACAACGUUUGUCAAGCGAUGGUGGGUGGACACACACACACACACACACACAUAUAUAUAUACAUAUAUACGACGGGCUUCUUUCAGUUUCCGUCUACCAAAUCCACUCGCAAUGCUUUGGUUAACUCGAGGCUAUAGUAGAAGACACUUGCCCAAGGUACCACGCAGUGGGACUGAACCCAGAACCAUGCGGUUGAUAAGCAAGCUAAUUAUCCUGCGCCUAUAUAUAUAUGUAUACAUUAAAAUUAAGGUAAACAUCGGUAACUGAAAACCUUUUGAUGUUGCUGGUCAAAUGUCGAUAUUUAUUUUAUAAUACUUUUUAUUAAUAUUUAUAAUAUUUUCAUUGAAAUAUAACACGCACGUGCAUGAUACAUAUAUAAUACAAAACCACUUUAAAAUCCAAAUUCUCUUGUCCAGCACUGAUCGUCUGAAACCACAAAAUUAAACAGAUUUAAUCAAGAACAUAACAAAUUAACAUAUUUAUUAUUGUAGACCAGUGCAUCACAACUCCAUAUAAGAUUUAGUUGUCAAAAUUUCUGUACAAUUAAUUGGUUAUACUUCCACAAUGCACGAAGCAUUUUUAAUUAUUAUUUUUUAUAUAAUCCUAAUGUUUAAUUAUAAUUAGUUAUCCUUCGAAUGCCUAAUUAUAAAAAUACGGGCAUAUCUCCACGUAUGUGCCCCCAAACCGAUUUUGUUUCCCCAGGUACUACUUGAGAACAGUGGUCCCGGUCCCUAUAUUUAAUUUACAUUUAAUAUAGUGGUCCCUAUAUUUCUCUUUUUACUUGUUUCAGUUAUUUUGACUGCGUCUAUGCUGGAGCACCGCCUUUAAUCGAGCAACUCGAUCCCGGGACUUAUUCUUUUGACGGGGACAUAAACACACUAGCAUCGGUUGUCAAGCAAUGCUAGGGGGACAAACACAGACAUACACAUACAUAUAUAUACAUAUAUACGACGGGCUUCUUUCAGUUUCCGUCUACCAAAUCCACUCACAAGGCUUUGGUCGGCCCAAGGCUAUAGUAGAAGACACUAGCCCACGCAGUGGGACUGAACCCGGAACCGUGUGGUUGGUAAACAAGCUACUUACCACACAGCCACUCCUGCGCCUAAGGCAAACACAAAACGCUAAUUCUUUUCACUUUAAUGUUUUUGUCUGUAUUUAAUUUCAAUUUGCAUAUGUUCAUUAAUUCACUACCAUCUCUUUAAAGUAAACAAAAUUUAAAAAAUUGAAGUGGUGAGGGAUGUGGCGUGUGAAAUAAAAAUUCUUUUUUUUUUGCAUAUUCAUAAUAUCCGACAUCUAAAACGUAGGGAUCCAAAAACAUUUUUUCAAAAAAAUGCAUUUUUUGAGGAGAAGUGUGAAACUACAUUAACCCCUAUGUUGGAAUUUAAUAUGAGAAAACGAAAUUAGUAGGCUUAUACACAUACAUACUGACACACAGACACACAUCACAUCUAGGCACAUAGCCUAGUGGUUAGAGCAGCGGACUCGCGGUUGAGGGAUCACGGGUUCGAAUCUCAGACCGGGCUAUGUGUGUGUGUUUAUGAGCAAAACACCUAAGCUCAACGCGGCUCUGGCAGAAAGUAAUGGCAAACUUCUGCUGACUCUUUCGCCACAGCUUUCUCUCACUCUUUCCUCCUGCAUCUUGCAGCUCACCUGCGACGGACCAGCCUCCACAUAUAUAUAUAUAUAUAUAUAUAUAUAUAUAUAUGUGUGGAGGCACAUGGUUAGAGUAGUGGACUCACGGUCGAGGGAUCAUGGGUUCGAAUCUCAGACCGGGCGAUGUGUGUGUUUAUGAGCAAAACACCUAAGCUCAACGCGGCUCCGGCAGAAAGUAAUGGCAAACUUCUGCUGACUCUUUCGCCACAACUUUCUCUCACUCUUUCCUCAUGCAUCUUGCAGCUCACCUGCGACAGACCAGCGUGACAUCCAGGUGGGGAACCUAUACGCCAAGGAAACCAGGAAACCGGCCCUUAUGAGCCAGGCAUGGCUCGAGAAGGAACAAACAACAUCACAUCUACAAAUUUAAACUUGAAAUUUCGAAACAAAUUCUAAUGUGUCAGUAGGUAUGUGUGUGUGCCCACUAUAUUUUCUUUUCAUUAUUAAAUUCCAAUACUCUUUUACUCUUUUACUUGUUUCAGUCAUUUGACUGCGGCCAUGCUGGAGCACCGCCUUUAAUCGAGCAACUCGACCCCAGGACACAUUCUUUGUAAGCCCAGUACUUAUUCUAUCGGUCUCUUUUGCCGAACCGCUAAGUGACGGGGACAUAAACACACCAGCAUCGGUUGUCAAGCAAUGCUAGGGAUACAAACACAAACAUACACGCACACACACAUAUACAUAUAUACACAUAUAUACGACAGGCUUCUUUCAGUUUCCGUCUACCAAAUCCACUCACAAGGCUUUGGUCGGCCUGAGGCUAUAGUAGAAGACACUUGCCCAAGGUGCCUUGCAGUGGGACUGAACCCGGAACCAUGUGGUUGGUAAACAAGCUACUUAUCACACAGCCACUCAUGCACCAAUAUAAUCAUAAUUUACACACUCUAAAAUGUAUUUGAAGAAAAUUUCAUUCAAUAUCACAAUUUUUUUGCCGAAAGUUUUGAAGAAACAAAAACCGACUCUGAAUUUUCUGAAACUUCUCACCCAAGGACAGUUUGAAUUUUUGGUCUAAAUCUCAACAAUUGAUCAUUAAAUAUCUUUAUGGGGAGAAAGAUAUUGAAAAACAUCAAUACCAUAAAUCCUCGAGUAUAAUACGCAGGGGAUUUUUAGGGGGCUGUACCUCUGAAAAACCUAAACCUUGUGUAUAAUACGCACCCCUUCUCUAACUUGAGUCAAGGAGGUCGAUAUAAUGUCCUUGGUUUGUAAAACUGUAUACGGUAACGUCAUUUAUUAUUAUUGUAUAUAUAACAUAAUGCAAACGUGUAGCUUUUUUGUGCAUUUUGUUUGCAGAAAAUAAAGAAAUAACAGUAAUAACGUUUAAUAAAUGUUGCUUACUGCAAGUUAUGGAUGAUUCUUUUAUGACUUCAUUACUUUCAGGCUUAGCUUAAGGUAUUUUCGCGUUCGACAUCACAAAAUGCAUCUGAAUAAACAUUGCCGGACAGCAAAUAGAGUCUCGGACAUUGCUUAGGAAAUAAUUUUCAUUUUUAACCUCGUAUAUAGUACGGUGGACGCACGCAGUUGUCGAGUGGUACCCGCGUGAGCGGAAAAGACCACCCGGAAAACCUCCACGAUGGUGGAAUUACAAUUUCAGGAGGACGAUUGGGAUCACGUAGAUGAGAAAGGUACGAUCCAGAGAGGAGUGGACAGCGUGCUGUGACCUGCGGUGUCAAAUGGACGCCUGACGGAAUGGUCGGUCAAAGUGAUCAAGUGAUAUAGUACGCACUAGGGAUUUUGACCUUUAAAUUUUGGGAAGAAAAAUGUGGAUUAUACUCGAGGAUUUACAGUACAUCUAGAAAAAAAAUUAGCGCAUGAUUUAAGGUGUAUUUAACUGUUACUUUUAGCACAUCUUACGACCACCUCAUACCUCUCUUCGUUUGUUUGUCAGUCUGAUGUAUUGAUGCUUUUCAAUGUCUUUCUCCCCAUAAACACAUUUAAGGGUCUUUUGGGAUUUAAACCAAAAAUUCACAAUGCACUUCACAUUGUUUUAGCUUUCAAUUAUUCUAGUAAAGUGCUAUGUUUAUGGUUUUAUUUCAUAAAAAUGUAAAAUUUCCUGUGUUGUGUUUCAUCAUCAUCGUUUAGCGUCCGUUUUCCAUGCUAGCAUGGGUUGGACGGUUCAACUGGAGUCUGGGAAGCCAGGAGGCUGCACCAGGCCCAGUCUGAUCUGGCAGUGUUUCUACAGCUGGAUGCCCUUCCUAACGCCAACCACUCCGUGAGUGUAGUUGGUGCUUUUACAUGCCACCGGCACAGGUGCCAGGCGAGGCUGGCAACAGCCAUGAUCAGAUGGUGCUUUUUACGUGCCACCAGCACAGAGGCCAGGCGAGGCUGGCAAUGGCCACGAUCAGAUGGUGCUUUUUACAUGCCACCAGCAUGGAGGCCAGGCGAGGCUGGCAAUGGCCACGAUCGGAUGGUGUUUUUUACGUGCCACCAACAUGGAGGCCAGGCAAGGCUGGCAACAGCCACAAUCAGAUGGUGCUUUUUAUGUGCCACCUGCACAGGUGCCAGACGAGGCUGGCAACGGCCACGUUCGGAUGGUGCUUUUUAUGUGCCAACGGCAUGGAGGCCAGUCGGGGCGGCACUGGCAACAGCCACAUUUGGAUGGUUUUUUUAUGGUAUCACAGCUACAAUUUCCAUUGAUGUUGAUCGAUUUUGACUUUGAUUUUGAUUUUGUUUCUGCUUUUUAAAUAUCCUCUGUAUCUUAAAUUUUUGUUUCUCAAUCAUUUCAGAUUAUCAAAAACAGCAAAGGAUUGUUCUCAUCAGAUACAUCAUCAAUAUUGAUCAUAUCUUAAAGACUAAAAGAAAGUGUUAUAAAGAACAAAUAUAAUUCUAUUUAUAUAAAUGUUUGGGGAACUACAGAGAAAUAUUUCUUCAGAACUAAGAAUGAAUAUCAAUGUUUGUCUUGUUCACUGUCUGAAAACUUUACAAGAUCACUUUGCAUUUUAAUUGAAUCUGGAUUACAAAGGAGUUUGCAGAAACUUCAGAUAAUCACCAAAAUUCACAGCUGAUGGAAAUAUAGCAGCACUAAUAUUUGUUCAGAGUAAGAUAUUAGAACAAAAAAUCGUCUGUAUGGAAGCACUCCGUCGGUUCCGACGAUGAGGGUUCCGGUUGAACCGAAUCAACGGAGCAGCCUGCUCG
rnacentral:lncRNA from 1 species